UGAAUACGAGAUGCUACGGCGUCGAAGCAGUCUAUGUCAUACUUCCAAGAAAAGCUUGCACUGUCAUAAACAAAUAAUGCCUGUACCAUAACCGACACAGGUGGGUAGGUAGAGUAUACUAAGGGGCGCGAGAUAACUCUCUCUAAGGAACUCGGCAAAAUGACUCCGUAACUUCGGGAGAAGGAGUGCCUUAUUUAUAAGGUUGCAAUAACAAGAUCCAAGCAACUGUUUACCAAAAACACAGGUCUCCGCUAAGUCGUAAGACGAUGUAUGGGGGCUGACGCCUGCCCAGCGCCAGAAGGUUAAAGAAGUUGGUUAGCAUCCGCGAAGCUGAUAACUGAAGCCCUGGUGAACGGCGGCCGUAACAAUAACGGUCCUAAGGUAGCGAAAUUCCUUGUCGGGUAAGUUCCGACCCGCACGAAAGGCGUAAUGAUUUGGAUACUGUCUCGGAGAGGGGCUCCGUGAAAUAGACUUGUCUGUGAAGAUGCGGACUACCUGCACCAGGACAGAAAGACCCUAUGAAGCUUUACUGUAACCUGAAAUUGAAAUUGGACUUUACUUGCGCAGUAUAGGUGGGAGGCGUUGAGAAUAUUCUUGCGGGAUUAUUGGAGCCAUCAGUGAGAUACCACUCUUGUAAUGUUAGAUUUCUAACUUUGUAUCAUUAUCUGGUCAAAGAACAGUUUCAGGCGGGCAGUUUGACUGGGGCGGUCGCCUCCUAAACGGUAACGGAGGCGCACAAAGGUUUCCUCUGAACGGGUAGAAAUCGUAUCUAGAGUGUAAAGGCAUAAGGAAGCUUGACUGUGAGACCUACAAGUCGAGCAGGGACGAAAGUCGGUCUUAGUGUUCUGACGGUGCUGAGUGGAAAGGCCGUCACUCAACGGAUAAAAGUUACUCUAGGAUAACAGGCUGAUCUCCCCCAAGAGUUCACAUCGACGGGGAGGUUUGGCACCUCGAUGUCGGCUCAUCGCAUCCUGGGGCGGUAGUACGUCCCAAGGGUUGGGCUGUUCGCCCAUGAAAGCGGUACGCGAGCUGGGUUCAGAACGUCGUGAGACAGUUCGGUCCAUAUCCGGUGUAGGCGUUAGAAUAUUGAGAGGAGCCUUCUUUAGUACGAGAGGACCGAGAAGGACAUACCUCUGGUGUACCAGUUAUCGUGCCAACGGUAAACGCUGGGUAGCUAUGUGUGGAGUGGAUAACCGCUGAAAGCAUCUAAGUGGGAAGCCCACCUCAAGAUAAG
rnacentral:rRNA from 1 species